CCCUCCACUCACUCCAUUUUCGGCCUCACCCCACCUGAACCGGGGUGAAUAAACAGCGAUGUGGCUCGCACAAAGCCCGUUUAGGGGACUCUUCACUCAGAGCAUGCGUUUUAACAAGAGCAAGUUUAACAAGUACCCUUUAUUUCCCAGGCCUGUUCUUUGUUCUGCCGAGUAACUGCGUUUUUGCAAAAGUUGUCAAAGUCCUGUGAGUUCCUGUUUUCCCAGGUCACAAGCCUUGACAAGCUGCAACAGCUGUCACUGCUUGAUAAACUGCUUUGUCCUGCCUCUGUGAGCUCACUUCCCUUCUUGCAAAUUUCGCGCCACUGGAUGGCCGACCCCCUACGGUCGCAUACAUAAAAGGUGGGCUCUGUCUUUGUUGGGCCUCAGCCUUGGGAUGCUAGUCCACUGAGCCGGCGGCCACCUUAAUAAAAUCCUCCUGUUCCAUUCAUUGGUGUCUCCUGUCCCUCAGUUUCCGCAACAUUUCUGGUGCAUUGGCUGGGAAAGGAGACGACAGGUUUAUUGUCUCCUUUGCCUCCGGGUUUGGGGCCCCGAGUCGGAGGAAUCCUGUGACCUCAGGGGUGCCAUCUCGCCAACUUGUACCCGAGGUGGGAGAGACUCUCCAGUGACCCGAUACCCCUCCCCGACAGCGCAACGGAACCGAAGGGGCUACAGGACAAUUCCGGGGACAGCCCGCUGCAGGACUGAGGUACAUCAGCUCAUUAAGGACACCCGUUCCACCCAAUUGGACCUUGUAGACCAGCCAACACACCCCCUUCCAGCCUGGAGACUCUGUUCUUGUUAAAAGAUUCGCCACCUCCGGCCUCACCCUCCAUUGGAAGGGACCCUGCACGGUUAUCCUGACCACGCCCACCACACUCAAGGUGGAUGGACUAACUGCCUGGAUUCAUCACACACGUCAAGGCUGCCCCACCAGAAGAACAAUGGAGCAUCAACCACUCAUCCCCCGAUUCACUAAAGCUAAGACUUGUGUGCUCUUCGCGGUUACCACCUUUGCCACCCUAAUCCAUGCUGUAAAUCCCUAUAGCAAACCCCACUUAGAACCCACCUACUAUCAAUGGGUCCUCACCGAGGGCUCUACUGGAGAAUAUGUUAGUUCCUUAACCGGGGAGGGAUCCACCCUAGUCAACUUAACCCUGGAGUACAUUCCAAACAACCCCAUUACCUUCUCCCUAGACCUCUGUGCCCUCCUGGGCCCAAACCUAAAUUUCAGAACAAGUGGAAGUAUAGCUGGGUGCGGCAGUUCAGGGGCAGAGCGACAACUCCAGACCAUGGGAUUAUAUCUGUGCCCAGGAUCCACCCC